UCAGUCUUCAUUGUUUGUCUUUCUUUUAUUGUUAUUGUUAUCUAUCUUUUUUUUCGUCCUGAUUAAGAGCGGUUCUUUCAUCAGCUGAUUCACGGUCAGUUCCACUCCUCUGGCGAAAGUGCUGUUACAGCUGCAUAGGAUUUGAGCUUCAUCUCGUGUGAAGGAUUUAUCACUUGUAGUACAGCUUCGGCAACAAAUCAAUCCUUAUUCAAGCGCGGUUCCAGCUCCUGUUGGACAUGUGUACGAUACUGUGUGGAAUCCUGCACUUUACAUUCAGACCUUCAGCUCGUAUCCAUGCGCCAGAACUGAUUUCAGAGCCAGUGUACAAUGUCUCCCAAGAUCCUAUAUUGCUAGGAAUUUCCAUAAAAUAAACAAGGAGAACAUCGUA